CCGUUAAUUGAUGAUGACGUACUUGUACUGAUUGAGAUUUUGACAUGCAAUCUAGGUGGCAGUGCGGGUGAGUAGGCGUGGGUAACGUGCCCAGAAGUAGGGGAUAACUCCUGGCAACAGAUGCUAGUACCGGUGAUACACUAGAGGAAAACCUGCAUGGCUUUUCUUUUAAAAGAUGGAUCUGCUAUCACUUGUGGAUGGACCCGCGGCGUAUUAGCUAGUUGGUGAGGUAAAGGCUCACCACCAGCAGUGAUACGUACUGCGACCUGAGAGGGUAAUCUGCCACAUUGGGACUGAGACACUGUCCAGACUCGUACGGGAGGCAGCUGUAGGGAAGCUUCCACAAUGGACGCAGGUCUGAUGGAGCAACGCCGCGUGAGUGAAGAAGGGUGUCGGCUCGUAAAGCUCUGUUGUUAAAGAAGAACGUGGGUAAGAAUAACUGUUUACCCUCCGACGGUAUUUAACCAGAAAGCCACGGCUAACUACGUGCCAUCAGCCGCGCUGAUACGUAAAGUGGCAAGCGUUAUCCGGAUUUAUUGGACGUAAAGCGAGCGCAGGCGGUCUGUUAACUCUAAUGUGAUAAUGCUUCGGCUUCAACCGACAGAAGAUGCAUUGUAGAACUGGCGAGAGUUUGACGUGCGAGAAAGAGGGGACAGUGGAAUUCCAUGGGUUAG
rnacentral:rRNA from 1 species